rnacentral:rRNA from 1 species
GACGAACGCUAGCGGGAUGCCUUACACAUGCAAGUCGAACGAGUGGCGAACGGGUGAGUAAUGUAUCGGAACGUGCCCAGUAGCGGGGGAUAACUACGCGAAAGCGUAGCUAAUACAACCUCCCAUCGGAUGUGCCCAGAUGGGAUUAGCUAGUAGGUGGGGUAACGGCUCACCUAGGCGACGAUCCCUAGCUGGUGGGAGUGGAUGACCAGCCACACUGGAACGGAGACACGGUCCAGACUCCUACGCGAGGCAGCAGUGGGGAGUAUUGCACAAUGGGCGCAAGCCUGAUGCAGCCAUGCCGCGUGUAUGAAGGAGGCCUUCGGGUUGUGAAGUACUUUCAGCGAGGAGGGGUUACUCGCAGAAGAAGCACCGGCUAACUCCGUGCCAGCAGCCGCGGUAAUAC